rnacentral:lncRNA from 1 species
CUGGCUACGGCUACGGCCAGGGUCCACCGCCACCACAACAAUCCCAACCCUACGGUUCUGCACAGCCAUACUCCUCCGCUUACGGCGCACCACCACAACCUUCUGCUCCAUACGGCACCGCACCACAACCUACUGCUCCAUACGGCAGCGCACAACAUGCUGCCCCAUACGGCACCGCACAACAAGCUGCUCCAUACGGCAGCUCACAACAUGCUGCUCCAUACGGCACAGCGCAAGCUUAUGGCUCCCCCUACGC